rnacentral:lncRNA from 12 species
AACUCAAGAAAUGGCCUUACUGAAACUGAGAUCUGCCCUCUCCCAACAGAAAUGCAGAAGGCUGUUCAUGGUCUACUGAAUCUCUGUCCAUAGCACGGGAAAUGAAGAGUACCUACACCUCUGUGGAAAGCUGUGCCUGACCUGCCAUCAGCAAACCUGUAAUAUCAAGGAACAGAUCACGAAGCAGCCUCUACCCAGCUUGGGGUUCCUCCUGGACCUCAGAGCUGGAGUGAGUCACAUCCCUGCGCCUCAGGACAGAGAGCAGGCGGAGCUUUCGUACCUGUCAGGCCCUCGAUACGGGAGCAGCGACAGGAACCCCAGCGGAACACGGUGGGGCCGCGGCCCAGAGGAGCUCUGACCGCGCAGGGAGCCGCACGCACGAACAGCGCCCGCAGGGAGCGCGGCAGCCCAGGAACCCCAGCGGAACACGGUGGGGCCGCGGCCCAGAGGAGCUCUGACCGCGCAGGGAGCGCGCAGGGAGCCGCACGCACAAACAGCGCCCGCAGGGAGCGCGGCAGCCGGCGCUGAGCUCGGAUGAAGGUCAGGCACCGCCCAAGGAGCUCAGGCUUGGUUUCCACUCGCCCAAACUCCACGGGUCCGAGCUUGUCCAUUUUCCAGAAGUCACAUCCCGUGCGCGCACCAGAAAGGACGUGGCCACCCAGAGCGAGCGCGGGGCUCCG